rnacentral:other from 2 species
GGGGGUCUGCGCUUUGCGUGAACGGGUACAUUCCGGUGGCCUUAAGCAAAUCCGAGGGGGCUGGCUCUGUCGUAGCCGUGGCUUCGUUACCUGGCGCCCACCUGUAUAUACAGGUCCUCGGGAAUGCGUUCACCCACACGGAAGAUGUGGUCCCCGC